GGUUAAGCGACUAAGCGUACACGGUGGAUGCCCUGGCAGUCAGAGGCGAUGAAGGGCGUGCUAAUCUGCGAUAAGCGCCGGUAAGGUGAUAUGAACCGUUAUAACCGGCGAUACCCGAAUGGGGAAACCCAGUGUGACUCGUCACACUAUCAUUAACUGAAUCCAUAGGUUAAUGAGGCGAACCGGGGGAACUGAAACAUCUAAGUACCCCGAGGAAAAGAAAUCAACCGAGAUUCCCCCAGUAGCGGCGAGCGAACGGGGAGGAGCCCAGAGCCUGAAUCAGCAUGUGUGUUAGUGGAAGCGUCUGGAAAGGCGCGCGAUACAGGGUGACAGCCCCGUACACAAAAGCGCAUGUGCUGUGAGCUCGAUGAGUAGGGCGGGACACGUGGUAUCCUGUCUGAAUAUGGGGGGACCAUCCUCCAAGGCUAAAUACUCCUGACUGACCGAUAGUGAACCAGUACCGUGAGGGAAAGGCGAAAAGAACCCCGGCGAGGGGAGUGAAAAAGAACCUGAAACCGUGUACGUACAAGCAGUGGGAGCACCCUUUGGGGUGUGACUGCGUACCUUUUGUAUAAUGGGUCAGCGACUUAUAUUCUGUAGCAAGGUUAACCGAAUAGGGGAGCCGGAG
rnacentral:rRNA from 1 species